GCGUGAGUGAUGAAGGCCUUAGGGUUGUAAAGCUCUUUCGCCCGCGACGAUGAUGACGGUAGCGGGAGAAGAAGCCCCGGCUAACUUCGUGCCAGCAGCCGCGGUAAUACGAAGGGGGCGAGCGUUGUUCGGAUUUACUGGGCGUAAAGGGCGCGUAGGCGGCGCCGCAAGUCGCGUGUGAAAGCCCCGGGCUCAACCUGGGAGGUGCGCGCGAGACUGUGGUGCUGGAGUUCGGGAGAGGAGCGUGGAAUUCCCAGUGUAGAGGUGAAAUUCGU
rnacentral:rRNA from 1 species